rnacentral:rRNA from 1 species
UAGGGAAUCUUCCACAAUUGGCGCAAGCCUGAUGGAGCAACGCCGCGUGAGUGAAGAAGGUCUUCGGAUCGUAAAACUCUGUUGUUAGAGAAGAACAUGCAGGAGAGUAACUGUUCUUGUAUUGACGGUAUCUAACCAGAAAGCCACGGCUAACUACGUGCUAG